rnacentral:tRNA from 1 species
GCCCGGAUGGUGUAGUGGCCCAUCAUACAACCCUGUCACGGUUGUGACGCGGGUUCAAAUCCCGCNGUUGGAA